ensembl:lncRNA
UCAACAUCAUUUAAUGGUAAAUUUAAAGGACAGCCCCUGGAAUCCAGUUUGGCUAAUGUACAAAAACGUGCUUGUGGGGAGGCACGUACCCGUAGUAAGAGAUAAGAUUCCGAGGUUUAUUCAUUUCGGUUGCCAUGGCAACAGCAACCUGGAGGCAGGAAGAAGGAACAGGGAGGAGAGAGGAGAAACCAGAAGCUGUGUUGGCUGUUAGUCCUUGGGAGAUCAUUGAAGGCAGAUAUUUCUACAGGUGGUGGUGUGAUAAAGAAUACAGACAGGUGGGCAAUCAACUCUAAGAGAGAAGGAAACCUGAGGAAUGAAAAUUUGUUCAAGGCACGGUAGUCUGUCUGGUACAGACAUGCAGACACUUAAAAGGAAAAAUCUCCAAUGUGUGGACGCUUUGAUGCUGAAGACAGUACCCUAGAUGAGAAACGGGCAUAUCUGAUCACUGGAAAAGUAUAUCCUCCUCUCUAAAUCGCAAUAAUAACAUUCAAACAAGUUCUCUAGCCUUCAUGACCGGGGCCCUGCUGAUUUCUCUGAUCUCAUGCUUGUUAUGCUCCGAGCCCCUAUCUCCGAACCGACCGAGAGAGCAAGUCCACCACAGUAAUGCAAAAGCAAGAAGGGAGUUUAUCUCUAGCACGCUAGGGCUCAAGUCUCAUCCCACACAAGGGAAUCCGACAAGAGCCGCGAACAAAGGAGUAUGGCGGCUAAUAUACAGGCAGUUCUUUGUCUCAGUUACAGGAGUAGCUGGCGUUACAUGAUUGGCCAGGCAGGAUGAGCGCAUAUCCUGUCUCUUUUUGGGAAACAUGACUCAGGUCCUAGAGACCGUCGUUUGGUCCCUAACAUUCCCCCCUGUCCUUAGAUCAUAUAGCGGAAUCUUCCUCUUGGUCCUGAGACACAGUUUGAUAUUGUUGUCGAAGCACAAACAGCUGUACUCUAUUUAUGCAUUCCUUUACAAAGGCUACAAGUCUAUUGAUAAUACAUGGGCCAAAGGUAAGCAUCAGAAGUAUUAGCAGGGGUCCCAGCAAGGUGGAGAUUAGGGUGGUCAACCAAGGGGAUUGUUGAAACCAAGACUCAAACCAUCUUUGUUGAGCCUCACGUUCUUAUUUACGUUGGGCUAGUCCUUUUUUCACUUUGGCCAUAGAUUUUUUAACUAUUCCUGUAUGAUCCACAUAGAAACAGCACUCUUUUCCUAGGGCAGCAGAGAGUCCCCCUUGUUGCAGAAAGAGCAGAUCUAAUCCCCUCCUGUUUGCUUUUUUCUGGAUUGAACCUUAUUUUGACUUGUGCAUAACUGCAACUUUCACAGCUAAAAGUUGGAUCUCCG